rnacentral:rRNA from 1 species
GAUGAACGCUGGCGGCGUGCCUAAUACAUGCCAGUCGAGCGAACGGACGAGAAGCUUGCUUCUCUGAUGUUAGCGGCGGACGGGUGAGUAACACGUGGAUAACCUACCUAUAAGACUGGGAUAACUUCGGGAAACCGGAGCUAAUACCGGAUGAUAUUUUGAACCGCAUGGUUCAAAAGUGAAAGACGGUCUUGCUGUCACUUAUAGAUGGAUCCGCGCUGCAUUAGCUAGUUGGUAAGGUAACGGCUUACCAAGGCAACGAUGCAUAGCCGACCUGAGAGGGUGAUCGGCCACACUGGAACUGAGGCACGGUCCAGACUCCUACGGGAGGCAGCAGUAGGGAAUCUUCCGCAAUGGGCGAAAGCCUGACGGAGCAACGCCGCGUGAGUGAUGAAGGUCUUCGGAUCGUAAAACUCUGUUAUUAGGGAAGAACAUAUGUGUAAGUAACUGUGCACAUCUUGACGGUACCUAAUCAGAAAGCCACGGCUAACUACGUG